AUGAACGCUGGCGGCGUGCCUAAUCCAUGCAAGUCGAGCGAACAGAUGAGGAGCUUGCUCCUCUGACGUUAGCGGCGGACGGGUGAGUAACACGUGGAUAACCUACCUAUAAGACUGGGAUAACUUCGGGAAACCGGAGCUAAUACCGGAUAAUAUAUUGAACCGCAUGGUUCAAUAGUGAAAGACGGUUUUGCUGUCACUUAUAGAUGGAUCCGCGCCGCAUUAGCUAGUUGGUAAGGUAACGGCUUACCAAGGCAACGAUGCGUAGCCGACCUGAGAGGGUGAUCGGCCACACUGGAACUGAGACACGGUCCAGACUCCUACGGGAGGCAGCAGUAGGGAAUCUUCCGCAAUGGGCGAAAGCUUGACGGAGCAACGCCGCGUGAGUGAUGAAGGUCUUCGGAUCGUAAAACUCUGUUAUUAGGGAAGAACAAAUGUGUAAGUAACUAUGCACAUCUUGACGGUACCUAAUCAGAAAGCCACGGCUAACUACGUG
rnacentral:rRNA from 1 species